UACGAAGGGGGCUAGCGUUGUUCGGAUUUACUGGGCGUAAAGCGCACGUAGGCGGAUAUUUAAGUCAGGGGUGAAAUCCCAGAGCUCAACUCUGGAACUGCCUUUGAUACUGGGUAUCUUGAGUAUGGAAGAGGUAAGUGGAAUUGCGAGUGUAGAGGUGAAAUUCGUAGAUAUUCGCAGGAACACCAGUGGCGAAGGCGGCUUACUGGUCCAUUACUGACGCUGAGGUGCGAAAGCGUGGGGAGCAAACAGG
rnacentral:rRNA from 1 species